UGAGCAACCUACCGAAAUGUGGGGGAUAGCCGGCCUAACGGCCGAGUAAUACCGCAUACGCUCUCGAUGAGGCAUUUCAUUGAGAGGAAACCUACGGGACAUUUCGAGGGGCUCGCGGCCUAUCAGCUAGUUGGCGAGGUAACGGCUCACCAAGGCAACGGACGGGUAGCUGGUCUGAGAGGAUGGCCAGCCACAUUGGGACUGAGACACGGCCCAGACCUCCGUACGGGAGCAG
rnacentral:rRNA from 1 species